GACCGCUCCGGUGGCCUAGUGAUUAGAGCGUGUGCUUCGGAUGUGGAAGGUCGUGGUUUCGAUCCCCAUUUGAGUCA